rnacentral:rRNA from 1 species
GAUCCUGGCUCAGGAUGAACGCUAGCGGCAGGCCUAACACAUGCAAGUCGAGGGGUAGUUACUUUCGGGUAAUGAGACCGGCGCACGGGUGCGUAACGCGUAUGCAAUCUACCUUUACAGGGGAAUAGCCCAGAGAAAUUUGGAUUAAUGCCCCAUAGUAUGUAUGAAUCGCAUGGUUUAUACAUUAAAGUUCCAACGGUAAAAGAUGAGCAUGCGUCCCAUUAGUUAGUUGGUAAGGUAACGGCUUACCAAGACGAUGAUGGGUAGGGGUCCUGAGAGGGAGAUCCCCCACACUGGUACUGAGACACGGACCAGACUCCUACGGGAGGCAGCAGUGAGGAAUAUUGGACAAUGGGCGCAAGCCUGAUCCAGCCAUGCCGCGUGCAGGAAGAAGCAUCUAUGGUGUGUAAACUGCUUUUGUACGGGAAGAAACACUCCUACGUGUAGGAGCUUGACGGUACCGUAAGAAUAAGGAUCGGCUAACUCCGUG